rnacentral:rRNA from 1 species
GACGAACGCUGGCGGCGUGCUUAACACAUGCAAGUCGAGCGGUAAGGCCCUUUCGGGGGUACGACGAGCGGCGAACGGGUGAGUAACACGUGGGUGACCUGCCUUUAGCUCUGGGAUAAGCCUGGGAAACUGGGUCUAAUACCGGAUAUGACCCUAUGGCGCAUGUUGUGGGGUGGAAAGCCUUGUGCGGCUAGGGAUGGGCCCGCGGCCUAUCAGCUUGUUGGUGGGGUGAUGGCCUACCAAGGCGACGACGGUAGCCGGCCUGAGAGGGCGACCGGCCACACUGGGACUGAGACACGGCCCAGACUCCUACGGGAGGCAGCAGUGGGGAAUCUUGCGCAAUGGGCGAAAGCCUGACGCAGCGACGCCGCGUGAGGGAUGAC